rnacentral:lncRNA from 1 species
UAAUCUCCUUUCAGGCAGUGGAAGACAACAAACACCUCUUUAGCUUUCUCACCCCGCAGUUUGAACUUCCCCAGUGCUUUCAGCAUCUCUGCAUGUAGCAUGUGCUUCAGCACCCGAUCAUGCUGAUGGCCUUUGGCUGAGCUCUCCCUGGGAUGUCAGCAAACCAUGUUGCAUCUUGUUGGUGCCAUCAGCUAUGAGUGUGGACAUUUACUUUGGCCCAGAGAGAGGGGAAUAAGCUAUAUUCCAAAUAACCUCUGGACUAUGUACUUGAAUUAAAGAACAUAAAGGAGCGAGCAGCGCCAUGUAAGCAGCUGUGGACUGGCAUGAAGAUAGAUGGUGUCUGGGACGAGACGGGGCAAAAAGAAAAGAAGCAAAAGGUUUUUUCCAUUGCGGCAGAGCUCUGUCAUGGACGUGGCGUCGGGAGCUGUGGAGGCUGUGCCUGUGGGGAGGGUAGGUUGUGGGGUCUCAGUGCCUUGGGGCAGGGAUUUCCUAUCUGCUGUUGCUCUGGAAAGGGAGCUCCACUGCUGUUCUCCACGCAUGUGCAAGGACCUGCUGCUUCUUACAAGCUUUUGCCAUCCAAACUCCUCCAUGCCUAAGGACACCUGCUGGGCCCGGGGGCAGCAAGGUGUGCACUUGGCUUUGUUCACGAGGAUAAUCUCCUUUUGCUCUGCCCAUUGGGCUUUGAGCAAACCUACUCCAUCCCCCAGGCUCUUUCCCUCAGGUUUAAGGAUAUUGCUUGUGCUCCUGCAGUCUGGAAAUAUUUGUGAGGAUCUUGGUUGGGCUGGAGCUUAGACAAGGACAAAAUGUUUGCCUUUUUCUUGGCAGAUUAGCCAUAGGAGGCUCCUCAGUCCCUCCCUGUAUCCCAUUGCAGUCCCGUAUCUCCCCUUGCUGUCCUACAGCAGACUGUUUCCAGACACUUCAAUGCUGCCUCUGCUCCUGAUAGCCCUGAGCUAGCCUCAGCAUUUUUCUCAUCAGUGUGCACUGAGAUGUAUGCAGAAAUCACUGACUGCCCCCGUCUCACUUAUCUGAGGUCUCAGUCUGAGCCUUGGUUUCCAUUUGCUCCAUAACUCAUCAGUGUUAAGCUGCUCCUCAUAAAUAGCAGCUUCUAGCAUGUCUUCUGUCAUCUGUAGCUUGUAUUUGUGUGCAAGAGGGAGAAAACAGGUCUAAUUUACAUCAGUGCAGCUGGCUCCUCUGAUCUGCCACCUGGAGACUUGGCUGACUGGGAAUGUGUCUGCAGAGGGGCCAGACCUUUGUUUCCUCCAGCUGCACCAGUCUCUGCACUGGUCACCUGCUGGCAGAGGGCAAACAUACCCCUUGACCUCAACCCUCAGGGACCUGCUGGGCAGUUUUAGUGGAUGCUGUGGACUGCAAGAAGGAUGCACGUGUCCUAGCAGUGCAGCAGGUUCCAGCGACCCUCUUGCCAGAUGUGCUGUGCAAAAGUUGAAGUGUAUUUACAGAGGCAUGCCCUGCCCUGUGGUUACAGUCUGUCUGUCCUUUGAGGAUGUUAGGGCUUUAACUCUCCUCGCUGCAGGCUCAUGCUGCUCUUGUGUGACUGGCUAGAUGUACAUGUAUGGUCUGAGUCAAGGUGCUGUUGUAUGCUGCUUGGGUUGCUCAGUUAUCAACGUGGGAUGGUUAAAAGUCUUACACUGGGGCAGGCCAAGAGAUUUUGACAAACUUUGACAUUUAAUGCAAUGAUGCUCUAUUUCCUGAACUCCAAGAAGGUGGUCCAGGGACUUUUGGCUUUUACUUGGGGUGUUUUAUUUAUAUUUUUUAUUUAUUUAUUUUUUUCAGAUUGGUAUUUUAUUUGGCACCAAAGAAAAGAGCAGUCAGUAAAGGAAAGAGUUUGGAAAAAAUGCUUUAUACGUGCAAGACCGAUUAGCAAGGCAAGAGACAUGGCUGUGCAGCAGGUUUUCUGAGGAGAGGAUUCACAUCAAAACUAUUGGGUGUCUGUGACACUUUCGAAGGUACAGGGAAAAACCCAUCAACAACAAAACUGUGACGCUGUCAGCAGCUGCCUGACGUACCUGGGGCUGUGUAUGUCCCUUGGUGAACGUCAGAGCUCCUCAGCGAGGGGGGAAGAUAAUUCUCACUGGAACAAAUCCCACUGAGAUGAUAUUUUCCCUGGACUACUUUUUUUUUUUUUUUUUUUUCUUUCCUAGAAAUAAAAUCACUUCAAGUGCAAUACA